rnacentral:rRNA from 1 species
CUGGCUCAGGACGAACGCUAGCGGCGUGGUUAAGACAUGCAAGUCGAACGAGAAGCUCCCUUCGGGGAGUGGAGAGUGGCGCACGGGUGAGUACACGUGAGCAACUGCCGGGAAGCCCGGGAUACCCGCCGAGAGGAGGAUAAUACCGGAUGUGGCCACCCUGCGAUUGCAGGGGAAGCUAAAGGAUUUAUUCACUUCCUGAGGGGCUCGCGGCCCAUCAGCUUGUUGGUGAGGGCAACGGCCCACCAAGGCGACAACGGGUAGCUGGUCUGAGAGGAUGGUCAGCCACACUGGAACUGAGACACGGUCCAGACACCUACGGGUGGCAGCAGUCGAGAAUCAUUCGCAAUGGGGGAAACCCUGACGAUGCGACGCCGCGUGGAGGAUGAAGGCCUUAGGGUUGUAAACUCCUGUCAAGAGGGAAUAAGCGAGUGAAGGUACCUCUAGAGGAAGGGGCGGCUAAUUCCGUGCCAGCAGCCGCGGUAACACGGAAGCCCCGAGCGUUGUUCGGAUUCAUUGGGCGUAAAGGGUGCGUAGGCGGCGCGGAAAGUCCGGCGUGAAAGGCAGGGGCUCAACCUCUGGACUGCGUUGGAUACUUCCGUGCUUGAGGACUGGAGGGGAGACUGGAAUUCACGGUGUAGCAGUGAAAUGCGUAGAUAUCGUGAGGAAGACCGGUGGCGAAGGCGAGUCUCUGGACAGAUCCUGACGCUGAGGCACGAAGGCUGGGGGAGCGAACAGGAUUAGAUACCCUGGUAGUCCCAGCAGUAAACGAUGUGAGCUUGAUGUGGGGGGAUUCGACCCCUUCCGUGUCGAAGCUAACGCGAUAAGCUCACCGCCUGAGGAGUACGGCCGCAA